rnacentral:rRNA from 1 species
GGAGGGUGCAAGCGUUAUCCGGAUUUAUUGGGUUUAAAGGGUCCGUAGGCGGAUCUGUAAGUCAGUGGUGAAAUCUCAUAGCUUAACUAUGAAACUGCCAUUGAUACUGCAGGUCUUGAGUAAGGUAGAAGUAGCUGGAAUAAGUAGUGUAGCGGUGAAAUGCAUAGAUAUUACUUAGAACACCAAUUGCGAAGGCAGGUUACUAUGUCUUAACUGACGCUGAUGGACGAAAGCGUGGGGAGCGAACAGGAUUAGAUACCCUGGUAGUCCACGCUGUAAACGAUGCUAACUCGUUUUUGGGUUUUCGGAUUCAGAGACUAAGCGAAAGUGAUAAGUUAGCCACCUGGGGAGUACGAACGCAAGUUUG